rnacentral:lncRNA from 10 species
AGAAACACUCUGCUACAGAACAAGUGUCUUGGUUCACAGCAAAGAGGACAAAGAAAACAGCAAGUUUUAGGGGGUUGAAUCCUGGAUUCCCCUGGCAAACACCAUUCUACUUUCCGUCUCUAUGAAUUUGACUACUCGAAGUACCUCAUGUGAAAUGUUGGUGCCAAAUGAACUUUUCUGGUUCUUCUGAAUAUGCCACUGUUGCUGGAGAAAUGUCACUGCUAGAGAACAGAAGACUAUUAUUCCAAAGGGUAUUUGAGACUGACUGAAUCAGGUCUGGAACAUUAUUGAAAUGCCCCUGUGAUGCUGUUAAAGCAGAUUCCCGGGUGCCAUUCCUAAAGACUCCGAUUGGG